rnacentral:rRNA from 1 species
GGCAGGCCUAACACAUGCAAGUCGAACGGCAAACACGCAAGCCGGUCUUGUGGCUGACGAGUGGUGAACGGGUGAGGAAUACAUCGGAACCUGCCCAGUCGUGGGGGAUAGCGUGUCGAAACGUUCGUUAAUACCGCAUACGCUCUUAGGGGGAAAGCCGGGGAUCUCCGGACCUGGCGCGAACGGAGCGGCCCAUGUUCGAUUAGGUAGUUGGCGGGAUAAAGGCUUACCAAGGCGACGAUCGGUAGCUGGUCUGAGAGGAGGAUCAGCCACACUGGGCCUGAGACACGGCCCAGACUCCUACGGGAGGCAGCAGUGGGGAACUCUGGACAAUGGGCCCAAGCCUGAUCCAGCCAUGCCGCGUGAGUGAUGAAGGCCCUCGGGUUGUAAAGCGCUUUUGUUCGGAACGAAAAGCAGUCGGCUAAUACCUGAUUAUCCUGACGGUACCCUAAGAAUAACCACCGGCUAACUUCGUGCCAGCAGUUGCGGUAAUACGAAGGGUGCCAAGCGUUACUCGGAAUUACUGGGCGUAAAGCGUGCGUAGG